GUUGUGAGGUUAAGCGACUAAGCGUACACGGUGGAUGCCCUGGCAGUCAGAGGCGAUGAAGGACGUGCUAAUCUGCGAUAAGCGUCGGUAAGGUGAUAUGAACCGUUAUAACCGGCGAUUUCCGAAUGGGGAAACCCAGUGUGUUUCGACACACUAUCAUUAACUGAAUCCAUAGGUUAAUGAGGCGAACCGGGGGAACUGAAACAUCUAAGUACCCCGAGGAAAAGAAAUCAACCGAGAUUCCCCCAGUAGCGGCGAGCGAACGGGGAGCAGCCCAGAGCCUGAAUCAGUGUGUGUGUUAGUGGAAGCGUCUGGAAAGGCGCGCGAUACAGGGUGACAGCCCCGUACACAAAAAUGCACAUGCUGUGAGCUCGAUGAGUAGGGCGGGACACGUGGUAUCCUGUCUGAAUAUGGGGGGACCAUCCUCCAAGGCUAAAUACUCCUGACUGACCGAUAGUGAACCAGUACCGUGAGGGAAAGGCGAAAAGAACCCCGGCGAGGGGAGUGAAAAAGAACCUGAAACCGUGUACGUACAAGCAGUGGGAGCACGCUUAGGCGUGUGACUGCGUACCUUUUGUAUAAUGGGUCAGCGACUUAUAUUCUGUAGCAAGGUUAACCGAAUAGGGGAGCCGAAGGGAAACCGAGUCUUAACUGGGCGUUAAGUUGCAGGGUAUAGACCCGAAACCCGGUGAUCUAGCCAUGGGCAGGUUGAAGGUUGGGUAACACUAACUGGAGGACCGAACCGACUAAUGUUGAAAAAUUAGCGGAUGACUUGUGGCUGGGGGUGAAAGGCCAAUCAAACCGGGAGAUAGCUGGUUCUCCCCGAAAGCUAUUUAGGUAGCGCCUCGUGAAUUCAUCUCCGGGGGUAGAGCACUGUUUCGGCAAGGGGGUCAUCCCGACUUACCAACCCGAUGCAAACUGCGAAUACCGGAGAAUGUUAUCACGGGAGACACACGGCGGGUGCUAACGUCCGUCGUGAAGAGGGAAACAACCCAGACCGCCAGCUAAGGUCCCAAAGUCAUGGUUAAGUGGGAAACGAUGUGGGAAGGCCCAGACAGCCAGGAUGUUGGCUUAGAAGCAGCCAUCAUUUAAAGAAAGCGUAAUAGCUCACUGGUCGAGUCGGCCUGCGCGGAAGAUGUAACGGGGCUAAACCAUGCACCGAAGCUGCGGCAGCGACGCUUAUGCGUUGUUGGGUAGGGGAGCGUUCUGUAAGCCUGUGAAGGUGUGCUGUGAGGCAUGCUGGAGGUAUCAGAAGUGCGAAUGCUGACAUAAGUAACGAUAAAGCGGGUGAAAAGCCCGCUCGCCGGAAGACCAAGGGUUCCUGUCCAACGUUAAUCGGGGCAGGGUGAGUCGACCCCUAAGGCGAGGCCGAAAGGCGUAGUCGAUGGGAAACAGGUUAAUAUUCCUGUACUUGGUGUUACUGCGAAGGGGGGACGGAGAAGGCUAUGUUGGCCGGGCGACGGUUGUCCCGGUUUAAGCGUGUAGGCUGGUUUUCCAGGCAAAUCCGGAAAAUCAAGGCUGAGGCGUGAUGACGAGGCACUACGGUGCUGAAGCAACAAAUGCCCUGCUUCCAGGAAAAGCCUCUAAGCAUCAGGUAACAUCAAAUCGUACCCCAAACCGACACAGGUGGUCAGGUAGAGAAUACCAAGGCGCUUGAGAGAACUCGGGUGAAGGAACUAGGCAAAAUGGUGCCGUAACUUCGGGAGAAGGCACGCUGAUAUGUAGGUGAAGUCCCUUGCGGAUGGAGCUGAAAUCAGUCGAAGAUACCAGCUGGCUGCAACUGUUUAUUAAAAACACAGCACUGUGCAAACACGAAAGUGGACGUAUACGGUGUGACGCCUGCCCGGUGCCGGAAGGUUAAUUGAUGGGGUCAGCGCAAGCGAAGCUCUUGAUCGAAGCCCCGGUAAACGGCGGCCGUAACUAUAACGGUCCUAAGGUAGCGAAAUUCCUUGUCGGGUAAGUUCCGACCUGCACGAAUGGCGUAAUGAUGGCCAGGCUGUCUCCACCCGAGACUCAGUGAAAUUGAACUCGCUGUGAAGAUGCAGUGUACCCGCGGCAAGACGGAAAGACCCCGUGAACCUUUACUAUAGCUUGACACUGAACAUUGAGCCUUGAUGUGUAGGAUAGGUGGGAGGCUUUGAAGUGUGGACGCCAGUCUGCAUGGAGCCGACCUUGAAAUACCACCCUUUAAUGUUUGAUGUUCUAACGUUGACCCGUAAUCCGGGUUGCGGACAGUGUCUGGUGGGUAGUUUGACUGGGGCGGUCUCCUCCUAAAGAGUAACGGAGGAGCACGAAGGUUGGCUAAUCCUGGUCGGACAUCAGGAGGUUAGUGCAAUGGCAUAAGCCAGCUUGACUGCGAGCGUGACGGCGCGAGCAGGUGCGAAAGCAGGUCAUAGUGAUCCGGUGGUUCUGAAUGGAAGGGCCAUCGCUCAACGGAUAAAAGGUACUCCGGGGAUAACAGGCUGAUACCGCCCAAGAGUUCAUAUCGACGGCGGUGUUUGGCACCUCGAUGUCGGCUCAUCACAUCCUGGGGCUGAAGUAGGUCCCAAGGGUAUGGCUGUUCGCCAUUUAAAGUGGUACGCGAGCUGGGUUUAGAACGUCGUGAGACAGUUCGGUCCCUAUCUGCCGUGGGCGCUGGAGAAUUGAGGGGGGCUGCUCCUAGUACGAGAGGACCGGAGUGGACGCAUCACUGGUGUUCGGGUUGUCAUGCCAAUGGCACUGCCCGGUAGCUAAAUGCGGAAGAGAUAAGUGCUGAAAGCAUCUAAGCACGAAACUUGCCCCGAGAUGAGUUCUCCCUGAC
rnacentral:rRNA from 1 species